GGAUGAAGAACGUAGCGAAAUGCGAUAAGUAGUGUGAAUUGCAGAAUUCAGUGAAUCAUCGAAUCUUUGAACGCACAUUGCGCCCUUUGGUAUUCCUUAGGGCAUGCCUGUUCGAGCGUCAUUUAAACCUUCAAGCUAAGCUUGGUGUUGGGUGACUGUCCGCUUCACUGCGGACUCGCCUCAAAAUUAUUGGCGGCCGGUACAUUGGCUUCGAGCGCAGCAGAAACGCGAACUCGGGCCCGUCGUAUUGGCUCCCAGAAGCUAUCUUCACAAUUUUGACCUCGGAUCAGGUAGGGAUACCCGCUGAACUUAAGCAUAUCAAUAAGCGGAGGA
rnacentral:misc_RNA from 1 species